UGGCGGACGGGUGAGUAACACGUACGUAACCUGACCCUACGUUGGGGAUACCGGUCCGAAAGGGCCGCUAAUACCGCAUGUGAUCGCCGGGGGUACCCGGUGCGGAAAGGCGUGCCCGCAAGGGGGCGUCGCGUGGGGAGGGGCGUGCGGCCGAUUAGCUAGUUGGUGGGGUAACGGCCUACCAAGGCGACGAUCGGUAGCUGGGCUGAGAGGCCGGACAGCCACACUGGGACUGAGACACGGCCCAG
rnacentral:rRNA from 1 species